CAGCAGCCGCGGGAAUACGAAGGGGGCUAGCGUUGCUCGGAAUUACUGGGCGUAAAGGGAGCGUAGGCGGACUGUUUAGUCAGAGGUGAAAGCCCAGGGCUCAACCUUGGAAUUGCCUUUGAUACUGGCAGUCUUGAGUACGGAAGAGGUAUGUGGAACUCCGAGUGUAGAGGUGAAAUUCGUAGAUAUUCGGAAGAACACCAGUGGCGAAGGCGACAUACUGGUCCGUUACUGACGCUGAGGCUCGAAAGCGUGGGGAGCAAACAGGAUUAGAUACCCGCGUAGUCCCUGUCUCUUAUAC
rnacentral:rRNA from 1 species